CCAUCAAAAAUAAAUAAACAUUAAAAAUUUUAAAAGAGACCAUUGAGCAGGUUGCUUAAAAAGCAAAGAAUUGAGAGUCCAAACAAUGUCAAGUUUUGUGUCCUAUUUCAGUUUUAUAACUGUGUGAUCUUUGGCAAAUAUUAACAUCACCAAGUCUGUUUGUUUUAAUGAGAAAAAUAAGAAAAUUAUGAAAGUAAAAUGAAAUAGUCAAACUUGUUAAAAGAGUCUCCCCUACAUAUAAGAAUACUAAUUAAUUAUCACUUACUAUUGUUCUUUUGUAGAUUUUAUCGUUUAGCCUAGAUGUUAAGGUGCUCAAUAUACAGAAAAUGUAAAUUGAGAUUUUAGCUUUGAAAUUAAAGCAUAUAUUCACUUUCCCAGUUAUUUUACUCGAUUGCCUAUUUAGGAUCAAAUAAUGAUAAUGAUAAUAAUAGUAUCUGCAAUUUUCUUUGUAUGUGCUAGACUUUGUUUUAAGUAGUGUUCAAAUAUUUUCUCAUUUAUGACUCAACUUCAUAAAAAUCUAAUGACGAUAUUCUAUUUUGCCAAUAGGGGAAAUUAGGGUAACCAGCUAUCCAGCUUGGUUUGCCUUUGACUUAAGGGUUUCCUGUGACAUGGGUCUUUCAGUUUUAAAACCAGGAAAAUCUCAAGCAAACCAGGAUGGUUGGUUACCCAAGAACAGAGCAUCAGUGAGGAUAAUUAACGUGUCCAAUAUCAUAGACUUUUACUUGGAAAUUUGGGGUUUGAACCUUACUUGUCUGAUUUAAGGAAACCAUAUGCCUUAUUGCCUCUUUAUAAUAGACUCAUCCACAUUGUCUCUAUUCUUCUAAAAAAGUUUCCAUGUUAUAAAUCUCAGAAAGGAGCUGAAGAUAUAGUUGUGUUCUCAAUAUGGGUGAUACUACCCCUCUUCUAGAAAGCAUUUUUGAAAUCUGCAAAAGCAUUUGGGUUGCUACAGUUAUUGGAGGAACACCACUGAAAUUAGUGGGAUGGUGUCACAAAAUGAAAAAUUCUCCCAAUUUUAACAUAGCUCUGAAUGUCUUCUUAGUCAUUCAUAUAGUUACCCACUGAGUCCCAUAAACCACAAUUUUAAUAAAUUUGAGCAAAAUAGUAUUAAAUAAGAGACAUAAGAAAUGUAAUAAUGGUAAAAUUGCAAUACACUUAAAAAUUAUAACAUUAAAAAUACACAUUGUGAACAUUACGUAUUGAAAUGUUCACCUAGUUGGGGUUGCCUAUUUAUUUUAGUCUUCUGAAAUGUGUUCAGAGGAACUCACUUUCUAUACCUUCUUAGCUUACUUUUCCUUUCCAGCUCAUCUUCUGUUACCCUUCAUCAAUAUUUUCCUUUCAUUUUUUCAAGUUCUAGAAUCUGAAUAUAUGCUUGACAGGUAGUGAGAAUUCAGGAUAGAAGACUUGUUUACAUAACACACGCUAUGCCAUAACGUAUGGAAUCAUGAAGACACUCUCCUUAUCAAUAAGGUCAUUUAGGAUGACAUUAUAUUUCUUGGUUUCUCUACUUGGAAAGUUCUCAACUUGCUAUAACAUUUCUACUUUAAAUGAAGCUAUUUUUCCUCUUUCUGUUACCAUACAUAAGAAAGUCUGGUCCUUUAUUAACUUAUUAAAACAACAGUUUUUAUUCUAAUAUAAAUCUUUUUUUAUUGGCAUUACUUCUAAUACUAUUUUUCAUAAAAUGAGUAUGUGCAAAUAUGUGGCCACUUUAUUUUGUUUUCCGGUGUGGUGAUACCAGAGCAUUUAUAUAUUAAAGUUCAUUUAAUUUAAUUAUACAUUAUUUUUCUUUUAGCCCCCAUUAUAUUACAGAGGACAUUACUAUUGUUAUAAAAUUAUGUAUAUGUGUAGCAUAUAUUAUCUUUUAAUUUAAUUUUAGAAUAAUAGAUUUGGCAUUAUAGUAUGGUUUUUAAAGGAGUCAUUGAGUCAGACAGGGUUGAGAACACUGCAAAGGAAACAGAUUAUUUUCAAAUAAUAAUGGUUUCUAAGAAGCAGAUGAACUUGACGUAAUCACCUUUUUUUCUUCUGUGAUGACCAAGUUUAAUUUAAAUUUUCGGAAUUCCAUUUAAAUAUGAAAAUAUAUUCUUGACCACCUAAAACUUAAGAUACAUUUCACAGGGAGGUUUUCAAAUUUUGAGACACAGCAAAACCUGGUCUCUGAGUGCGCCAUAGAAAAACACUUUUGGAGCCAAUUGGCAAGGAUUGUGUGAAAGGAAGUGUGGAUAAGCUACAGCUAUAAAGGUUUACAGAAUCUUGUUAAAAGAGAAGGAGAAGGCAAGAGAACAAAGACCAUGAUCCUAGGGAAUGAAUCUCUGAGGAAUAGUAGAAAUAAUGAGGCAUAUAUGUGUGUAAAAUAAUACUAUGGAAAAGAUUAAGAAACAAGAAAAAACUAAAUUUGGAAUUCACAUUUUUAAGAGAGUGAGCUGUGAUUUAUUGAGUGUUCACUGAAAGAGUAUUAUUUGGUGAUAGAGAAGGUUAUAAUUUAGAAUAUAAUGAAGUCCAUUGCCCAAAGAAACACUUGUAAAAUAUUGUUUGUUUUUUCUAAUUCCUUCAAUAGAAAAAAAUUUACCCUCCCACUCUGAUUUAGCUAAGUUCCAGGAAAUAUCAGUAAGAAUUUACUAAGAAAUCUUUCAAGGUCUUUUCUAUUAAGAGUAAUAAAUAUUAUCUAAUGAGUACUCAUUUUGUGCUAGACAUACUGGCUAAGAGUUUUACAUGUAACGUUCUUUAUUCCUUUCAGUGACCCAUGUUAAGAAUUGUUUUCCUACGUUAUAGAGGACAAAACUGAACCUAAACAAAGAUUUUGACCAUGUCAGAGAAUUAUGUGCUGCAGUAGAAUUCAAAUACUGACAUAACCUUAUUAUUUCUUUGAUUAUUUAUUUAAUUUAUAAAUUCUAUAUAUAUGCUCAAAGUAGGCUGUGUCUAAAAAUGACAACGAUAGAUUUAAACACUAUGAUAAAUUUUACUGACAUUAAGCAAAAUUCAGCCUGCUAUUUAUAAAUUAACUCCCACAAUUAUGGAACUUGACCAAACAUAUCUCCAAAAUAGCUCAACUCGGGAUUUCUCCAUUCUCUUCCUCUUUUCUCCUACUUUGUGCCACAUACAUUAAUACAGAUCCUUUUACUUGACCUUGUAUCACCAGUGACACCAUCAUGUACCAAAUUUGCUUUUUUUAAAAAUUUUUUUAAUGUUUAUUUAUUAUUGAGAGACAGAGCAUGAAAAGAGGAGGGGCAGAGAGAGAGGGAGACACAGAAUCGGAAGCAGACUCCAGGCUCUGAGCUGUCACCACAGAGCCCAACACGGGGCUCGAACUCUCAAACCGCGAGAUCAUGACCUGAGGCAAAGUCGGAUGCUUAACCGACUGAGCCACCCAGGUGCCUCCUAAAUUUGCUUAUUUGAAAUAAUUGAUAUUUGCCCUCUGUCCAUUUUAUUUUUUGACCAAUUAGCUUAUUCAGCAAUUAUUCACAAACUGCAUCCAGUUUUUGUUUGUUUGCCAUCAUAUACUAUUUGGAUCUUUCUUUUAAAUUCUCUUGAAUUUGACUUAAGUCCGGUUAUUGACUUAUUACACAUUAUCAUAACACCAUACUUGAGCUCCUGCAUUGAUGCUCUGCCUGGACUUAUCAUCUUUACAGAUUUUUCCACCUCCACUAAUACACAUGUCUCUGCCAUAAGAAGCAACACUCUAUGUCACAAAUCUAGUUAUUUUUCUUCGUUGCAUUAAAGCUUAUAGUGGUUUUUUAUUGCUUUUGGGAUGAGGUUGAAAUUCUUUCUUAUGACAUUCAAUGCUUGUACUUGUUGAUCCAAGUUCAGCACAUCCCUGCCUAGACUCCUCCUAACACACCCUGUAUGAUAAAUUCUUAAUUAUAUAUUUUCCCUAAAUGUGCCACAUUUUCCCACAUAUUCCUGUUUUACCUUACUUAUUUCUUCUAUCUCCCCAACCCCCACACAAAGGCUUUAAGACCCAGUUCAAAUUAACUACUCUGCAAAAUCUUCAGUCUCUCCUGUUUAAAUUGGUUGCCACUCUCUUCUAUAUUCCUUCAGUCAAUUUAUAUCAUUGUCUUUUUUCACAUUGGUUCGUAUUUCUUUUGUUUGCGUGUGUGACUCUUCUUUCAGUGUGUGAGUGCCUCCGUUGCUCUUCCAGACAGUGACUCAAACUGUGUAAACAUUUCCUUAAGUAAAGCCAGCUCUUUAUUACAUAAGCUGAUAAACUUUUACUUUGAAGAUAGUGUCAGUGCAAUAGACAUCUGUAUUUUUAAACUUUGUAAUCUAGAAAGAUUAAUAUUGAAACCAGUAUGUAUCCUUUGGCAAAAUUAAAUCUUCAAUUUUAAGAAAUAUCUGUGUCUCCUUAAUAUGUUACCAUUGAAGCUCUCUGUUCCUGGGAGACUCAAAAUAUUUGAAUCCUAUGAGAUGAAGCAGCCAACACACUGGAGAGGUGAAGAUCUGAUUGGAAUAAAAGACCAAGUUUAUUGGGACUAUUUUUACCUUUGGAUCAGGAAUUUGAAUUCUCUCCAAACUUUUGGAAUAUAUGGUUAGUUGAGGUGGUUAAUUUUAAAGGAAAUCAACAAUCUCUUCCAACAGUAGUACACUUUUUGUAUUCUAGCUCUCAGAGUUGACAGGUAUGAAGGGGAAUUACAUUUACUUGUGAUAGAUUUAAGAAAUUAAUAAUUCACCCAUGGAAACUAUAAAAUAUCUAUAUCUGUUUUGUAAAAUACAUUAUGUUUCUGGAACAGUGUACAAAGGGGGUUUCAACGUUUUUUGCGUAGUGUUAUAGAUAGUUCUUGCUGAAUUUAGGGGUAAUAGUGAAAGAGAACUGAAAAACAAUGGUCAAAGUGGACUAAUUUUAUAACAAACAUAAAAGUGAGAGGCAAGACAGAGGUGGAGUUAUCAGGAGUAAAGGAGUAGCAAGUGAGUGCAAAAUAGGAAUUUGCAAUUGAAGGGGGAAUAGCCUACAUAAACACAGGUAUCAUCUGAGGGUAUCAGGAUUGAAAAACAGCAAGCAUAUAACAUUGUCUUAAAGGGGGAUUGCCUAUUCAAUUGCUCUCACCUAUCUGAAAAACAGUUUCUUUAUUUCUUCUUGGCCAGUAUUUCACAGUAGACUUUCAGAAUUUAACUUCUAAUCUACCUUACCAGCUAUGACUGGUCUCAUGGACUGGUCUCAUGGUUUAAUCACUUUGAAUCAUUCAAUAUUUCUCAAACAUGCCAAAUGCCAAAUUCCUCUUGCCUUUACUCAUCCUGUUUACCCGCCUGGUGGGGGUGAUUCUCCCCUAUUUUUCACUAUAAAAUACUUAACAUUCCUUCAAGGUUAAGUUCAAAUCCAUUACUACUAUGAAAACUGACCAACCUCUCCACCCAAAAUUAACCUCUGUCUACUCUGAAUCCCUAUAGCAUUUUACUACUAUCUAUUCUCACAUAUCUUGCUCCCUUCUUUGAUCUCCGUUAUCUUUUGAGAGCAAGUGCCGUGAUUUAUUCCACAAAGUCCCAUAGUGAAGACUUGAACUUCAGGCCUAUCUUAGGAAUUCAAUAGUAUCAAGCUACUACUCACCAAGAGUUAGUUUUAGGCACUAGAUAGAUAUCAAAUAGUGAAGUUGAGUAGGCAAUUAGCUAUAAAAGUUAGAAGUUUAUGUGAGAUGUCUAGGCUAGAAAUAAUAAAUUUGUGAAUCAUGAUUUUAGAUGUUAUUUAAUUUCAUGAGGCUGAAUGAGAUUAUCUAGGAAGAGAAGGCAUCUGAAGUUUGUGCCCAUUUAUAGAGGACAUGAGGACAAGAAGGAUCUACAAAACAAAACAAACAAAAACACUAACAAAGAAAUAGAGGGACAACCAAGAAAGAAUAAUGUCCAGGAAUCAUGAGGGGAGUGUCCAAUGUUGUCAAUGGUUGUUAAGUGAGAUGGGAGCUAAAAAUUGAUCAAGAUGUGACAAUCUGGUAGUCUAUUGGCAACCUUGACAAAGGUCUUUCAAUAGAUUGAUAGAGCUGGUUGCCUGAUUUGAGUCGGAGAGUGGGAGGAGGGAAAGUAUUGACACCAAAUGUAGGCAAUUGUAUGCUAUAAAAGGACCAAGAAUGGUAACAACAAAAGCAGUGGAUAACCAAAUGAUAGUAACCAAAUUGUAUUUUAAUGUUUUUUAAAGGUCCUUAUAUCAUAGGGCAGCAUUGGAUACAGAUUUAGAAUCAAACAAAAUGGUAUUUAUCAUUGAUAUGCUAUAUUCUCAAGAAUGAUAUGUCAAGAGAAAAUAAUGUACAUGUUUUUAUUCUUUGUUGCUUAUCGUGGUGAUUUAAUAAAGUACUUCAUAAAUGUAUAUUGACUCUUUGUGUGGAUAACAGAUGGAUGUGCUGAUAAAUAAAAAGUGAACCUUAUGCAUAUAGUUAUGUAAGGUAUUUUCCCCAGCUGCCAAAUAUGACUGAAAUGUCCUAAAACUAGACAAAUAUAUAUAUCUUAAACACAUGAAAUAUUGGGCUUUAGGAAUAAAGAGAAAGCUUUCUCUCUUUAAAAGGUUUAAAAACCUUACACAGUAUAAAAACUCCCAUUAUUGGAGGGAUUCCCAGGAUCUUGAAAAACUGUAAAUUUGGGGAAAAUUUUAUCAGAACCCUCCAUCUUGGCACAAUUAUUUUAUCCUUUGCCAUCACUCUGUAGUUCUUUAGCUUCUGGAAAUUUCUCCCUCUAAUUUUUCAUAACUACAAGGGUUAUGUGCUCCUCUUUUCUGUGUCCCAUUCAUAUAGGAAUUUAUUUGCUUUUAGGUAACACUGAAGUCUAGUAAGUCAUGUUAUUGUUAUCAUCCAUCACCAGCACUUGGAAAACAUUCUUACUUUGCUUGGAAUCAGAAACCUGCUCUGGGACUUUUACCACCACUCAUGUGGAUGUCCUACUCAGCCUGCUCCGGAUGAAACUCUCCAAAUUAGAAGAACAUUUUUUAAAAAUUACACAGGAAAAAAGUUGACCAAGAUGGUGACAUAAGGAAACUCCUGAGCUCCCUUCCUUCCAUAGACACGCUGAAUGUACAGCUACAUGUGGAGAAAUUCCCUCUGAAAGGGGAAACUAGCUGAACCACUCAUAAACAUCAAAUGAACGAGGAAAUACCCACUUUGAACCAGGUAGGAAAGACUGAGACAAACUCUCACGGUAAACUCCACCCACAAUACAGUGAUAUGGAAUCCUGAGGGAACUCCCAAUUUCCAACUACUCCCUGAGGAGUGAAGAACUUGGACUCACAUCUAGACCCCCAGCUUGUAAGUCUCUCCCCUAAGGGACAGGUUCCCAAAUACCUAGCUCUAAAAGCCAAAAAGACUCAUGUCAGGGUCAAGGGGGGGCUGGACACAUAAGACUAUAUACAACAAAAGCAACUCUUAAUGAGUGUGCUAACACAUCACAGCUAUCUCCCCAGGGCUCAGUGCAGAGGCAGCAGGCAAAACCACCCAACGCCCAGGCUUUCCCUGAAAGGAGUUUAUCUGAAUGCUUUACAAACUGUUGCCAGAGGGCUAGACUUCUAAUUUAGCAAAAACUGGGAGCUGGCUGUGAUACUCCUCAAAGACCAGGGGAGCCAGCAGAUAGCUCUCUGGUCCUCUCUCCCCAGCUUACUCCAGUAAUAAAACGAAGUCACCGGUUAUUUCCCUGGAAGGAGCUAGUACACACAUCUGGUGCUCCAGCUUCUGCUACUGCCACCUGAACUGCAUGCCCCCAGAUCUUCCGGCUCCAGUAGCCAAAGGGGCUGGCAUUAGCAAGUCUCACAGGACCAUAGCAAACAGAGGACCAGUUCUAAAUGGCCACAGGUGUCCCUUCCCCAUUUCCACCCCACCACUCCACAGCUGUACACCUGGGCCCAGCACAGAGGGAGCAAAAAAGUUUAUUUCCUGCUUUUUCUUUGGAAAGGACAUAACUAUAUAUUUUCCUACCAUAUUUAUCCCAUCUGGGAGAGACAGUGAUCCUCCUCUUUGGGACACUGAUGAGUCUGGGCAUAUCCCAAACUCCUGAGAGGCACCAAGUACAAAAAUGGUGGCUCGCAACACAAACGUUUGAGAGAAAACAGAGCUCUGUACAGGCUGAUUGAUGAGUUCAUCUCCUACACAAGACUGCUCUGUGAGGGCUGGGAGAGCUGGCUGUUUUAUCUAAUGUGUAGAAAGCGACACAGAGCGUCAAGGAAAAUGAAGAAUAUGUUCCAAAUAAGAGGACGAGAUAAAUAUCCAGAAACAAAUCUUUUUUUAUUUUUUAUUUAAGUUCAAGUUAAUUAGCAUAUCCUGUAAUAUUAAUUUCAAGUGUGAAAUAUAGUCAUUCAACAUUUCACACAAUACCAGAUGCCCAUCAUAAUGAGUGUACUCCUUAAUCCCCAUCACCUAUUAAGCCCUUCCCCCCAUUCCCUCCUGUCUGGUAACCAUCAGUUUGUUCUCUGUAGUUAAGAAUCUGUUUUUUUGUUUGCCUCUCUCUUUCUCUCUCUUUUUUCCCUCUGCUCAAUUUGUUUUGUUUCUUAAAUUCCACAUAUGAGUGAAAUCAUAUGGUAUUUUUCUUUCUCUGACUUAUUCCAGAAACAGAUCUUAAUGAAACAGAGAUAAGUGAUUACCUGAUAGAGGGUUCAAAAUAAAGGUUAUAAAGAUGCUCACCAAGGCCAGGAGAGCAAUGUAUGUAUGAACGAAAUGAGAAUUUCAACAAGAGAAGAAAAUACACAAAUGUCCUAAACAGAGCUGAAGAAUAUAAAACCAAAAUAAAGUCCCCUGCUAUUAUUGUAUUUGUCUGUCUCUCCCCUCAGAUCUGUUAAUAAUUGCUUCAUAUUUUUAGGUGUUGGGGACAUAAAUAUUUACAAAUGUUAUAACCUCUUGAUGAAUUAAUGCCUGAAAUGAAACAACCUAAGUGUCCUUUGACACAUGAAGGACAAAGAAAAUGUGGUAUAUCUAUAUACACAAUGGAAUACUAUUCAGCCUUUAAAAAGAAGGAAAUCCUGUCACGUGUGAAACAUUGGUGAACCUGGAAGGCAUUAUGCUAAAUGAAAUGAACCAGAGAAUAACAAAUACUUCAUGGUAUCGCUUAUAUGUGGAAUUAAAAAAAAAGUUGAAUUCAUAGAAUCAGAGAGUGGUAAAGUGUUUGCCAGAGGCUGGAGUGAGGGAAAAUAGUGGGAAUUUAGUAAAAGGAUACGAACUUUUAGUUAUAAGAUGAAUAUGGUCUGAGUAUCGAAUGUAUAACAUAGUGACUAUAGUUGAUAGCACUGUAUUAUAUAAUUGAAAUUUGCUGAGAGUAGAGCUUAAAGGCUCUCAUACACAUAAAAAGCUAACUAUGGAGGUUAUGGAUGUGUUAGUUAACUCCUUAUGGGGAAUCCUUUCACGAUGUUUACAUCUAUCAAAUUAUCACAUUGUACACUUUCAAUAGCUUACAAUUAUAUUUGUCACUUACACUUCAACAAAGAAAAAAAUUACACUGGAGAUAGGAUAAAAUGUCUCAUAAUAAUCUCAAAUAGACAUUUAGCAUUUUCCAUAUGAUAAUUAAUUAGCAAAUUAGUUUCUAACAUGUAGAAUUUUUCCAACCAAAUUUCUCAUUAACCUCUAAAUUGCCAAACUAAUUGUUGAAAAUUGAACCUAAGAAAGACAAAUUUAAUCUUCAAAUGAAAAGUAAUUUUUCCAACAAUGUGAAUUUUGAUGAGCUCUGUAUGCAGCAUGCUUCAAUUUAUCUUCCUGAUUAGCCAUAUUCCAAAUUAAAUUAAAGCACUGAGUUUGUAGAAUUGGUUAUUUUGCUUUUUUCUAAAAUGCUUACCAAUUGAAGCAUGUGCUAUGGAUGGAAAAAGGGCUUUCCUCAUAUAAAGUCUAAUGUAUAAGGUUAAGGAGUCAGAAAUGUCGUUUUAUAAGCAGUUAUACUUUAUUCAAAUUUAAGGAGAUUUAAAUAAUAGUUGGUGAUAUGUGUUUGACAUUAUACUACUCAAAUCCAAAUAGACAACAGCAAAAAAUACUAUAAAAAGAGAAGAUAUACCCUGAGGAAGGGUAGACAACACAAUGAUACUUACCAAAGAGAAAUAUAUUCUUUUUAGAGGCAUAAUUCUUGGUCUCAGGGUGUGAAAAUUAAUAGAUUUCUACUUAAAUAUGAGUUUCAGUGAUAUGCUGUAGGGGAAGUUAUCAGUGAAUCUCAGAAACUUAUGUGAUUAUUAAUGUUUUGAAAAUGCAUAGAAAGUUGAUUUUAUGCAUAAAAAUUCACUUAGUAAACAAAUUCCUUAAAUUUUAAAACUAUCAAUGAAAUAAAGUUUUAUUUCAGCAAAGUGAAGUUCUCAGGACCUGCUCUGUUGUGUCCAUAUUACAGAUAUCUGUGAAAGAGAUUUUACAAACAUGGAGGAAAUAUUCCCUAAUGUGUCUAGUGUAUUAGAGUUAUAUCACUCUACAGAGAAAUUUGGAAGGAUUUUCUCUUAAGAUAUAUUCCUGAAUUAAGGAAAAGAUCAAGCAAUAACAGAGCGGGGUGACUUAUUUUUUCCUACAUUAACCAUUUUCUGGCCAUUCAUUAUGGAGCUCCAUUGGAGACAUUCAUUAAUUAGUUACCAUGUUAUUCUGCAAGACAAAAUAGUAUAUAUAAGUUCUCUCUAACUGAGAAAGAAGAACUGAUAUAAAUAACUUCCUUUCAUUUAUCAUAGUUCUCAAAAAGUCCAUGCUAUUAUAAAGGGGUCUUGGUAUUGGUAAAAACAACAUAGUACUUUUUUUUUGCAUUUUAUGCAAGAACAAAGCUUUUUCACAGAAGUUUUAGCUACAUUUUGUAAAUGCAUUGUUUUAAAGAAAUAGUUAAAAACAGGUGAUAUCCACAGCUCCUCUCUUUGUAUGUAAAGAAGGUGUAAAGUAACUUGAAACUAAUAUAACACUGUAUGUUAACUAACUGAAACUAAAAUAAAGACUUCAAAAAUUUAAGAAAGAAUGUGUGAAGUAUAUAUAAGAGCAUUUAGUCAAUGUGCUAAGGAAACAACCCUAAAUGAUAAAAGCGUUUAUUGUGAAGUAUUCAAGUAAGCUCUCUACCUCAAGUAAUGAUCAUAUUUUUAAAGUCUUUAAUCUUUGUAAAGGCAUUAAAAUGAAAACUGGGGUGUUUUUUGAUUUUUGGCUUUUAUUUUGUUUUGUUUUGUUUUGUUUGUUUUGGUUUCAAGCAAGAUUUUCUUUCAGCAAGUAAAGAAUAUUCAGUCAACUUUGGCAUUGCCUUUAUUGAACAUUCUGUUUGGUUUAAUGUUUCAUAAUAUAAGGUGAUUAACGAGCUUUGAUGUAAAUUUAUGUUUUUCAUCCAAUGGUUUGCUUGGAUUUUUUUUAAAUGCAAUUUAGUAGCAUUUUCUUUGAGCUUAAAAAGAUAACUCAGAAAAACAUUAUCAAAAGAUCGGCUCAUCGUGUGUCACUGACUUGCUGAAUUACUGUCAUUCUUGUAUUCCCAUUUAUUUAGCAUCUGUGCUUGUCAGGCUGUCACUGGCAAUGUGUGAAAAUGCAAGGAAAAAAACAUGGCCAAUGAUCUUCGUAAACUCACAUUCAAGAGGCUUCCUGGUAUCAUAACAUGUUAUUAAUUAAACUAUUGACAGUUUGAAGAAAAAAUCAGUAUUUAUUAACACCUAGGCCUUAUUUUGACUUUAAAGAAUAAAGGAGUCUAAUUUA